CUUAUCUUUCCUUCUUCUGCCAUUUUCACCUGCUUUUACUUUGCUGCAUUCCAUGGCGCUCAAUUUGCUUUCCCCUGCUGAAAUCAAGGCUAUCUCCUUCUUAGAUUCCACCAAGUCCAGCCACCUUACUAAGCUUCCAGGUGGUUUCAGUUUAAAGAGGAAGGAUUUUGGAGCAGCAUUUGGGAAGAAAGUGCAGUGUUCGGCCCAGCCUCCUC
rnacentral:misc_RNA from 1 species